UUAGAGUUUGAUCUUGGCUCAGAGCGAACGCUGGCGGCAGGCUUAACACAUGCAAGUCGAACGGGCACUUCGGUGCUAGUGGCAGACGGGUGAGUAACACGUGGGAACGUACCUUUCGGUUCGGAAUAAUUCAGGGAAACUUGGACUAAUACCGGAUACGCCCUUCGGGGGAAAGAUUUAUCGCCGAUAGAUCGGCCCGCGUCUGAUUAGCUAGUUGGUGAGGUAAUGGCUCACCAAGGCGACGAUCAGUAGCUGGUCUGAGAGGAUGAUCAGCCACAUUGGGACUGAGACACGGCCCAAACUCCUACGGGAGGCAGCAGUGGGGAAUAUUGGACAAUGGGCGCAAGCCUGAUCCAGCCAUGCCGCGUGAGUGAUGAAGGCCUUAGGGUUGUAAAGCUCUUUUGUCCGGGAAGAUAAUGACUGUACCGGAAGAAUAAGCCCCGGCUAACUUCGUGCCAGCAGCCGCGGUAAUACGAAGGGGGCUAGCGUUGCUCGGAAUCACUGGGCGUAAAGGGCGCGUAGGCGGACUCUUAAGUCGGGGGUGAAAGCCCAGGGCUCAACCCUGGAAUUGCCUUCGAUACUGAGAGUCUUGAGUUCGGAAGAGGUUGGUGGAACUGCGAGUGUAGAGGUGAAAUUCGUAGAUAUUCGCAAGAACACCAGUGGCGAAGGCGGCCAACUGGUCCGAUACUGACGCUGAGGCGCGAAAGCGUGGGGAGCAAACAGGAUUAGAUACCCUGGUAGUCCACGCCGUAAACGAGGAAUACCACCCGCUGGGGUGCAUGCACUUCAGUGGCGCAGGUAACGCUUUAAGCAUUUCCUCCUGGGGAGUACGGUCUCAAGAUUAAAAAUCAAAGGAAUAGACGGGGGGCCGCACAAGCGGUGGAGCAUGUGGUUUAAUUUGAAGCAACGCGCAGAACCCCACCAGCUUUUGACAUGUCCGGUUUGAUCGGCAGAGAUGCCUUUCUUCAUUUCGGUUGGCCGGAACACAGGAGCUGCAUGGCUGUCGUCAGCUCGUGUCGUGAGAUGUUGGGUUAAGUCCCGCAACGAGCGCAACCCUCGCCCCUAGUUGCCAUCAUUCAGUUGGGAACUCUAGGGGGACUGCCGGUGAUAAGCCGCGAGGAAGGUGGGGAGGACGUCAAGUCCUCAUGGCCCUUACAGGCUGGGCUACACACGUGCUACAAUGGCGGUGGCAAUGGGCAGCGAAAGGGCGACCUCGAGCUAAUCCCAAAAAACCGUCUCAGUUCAGAUUGUACUCUGCAACUCGAGUACAUGAAGGUGGAAUCGCUAGUAAUCGUGGAUCAGCAUGCCACGGCGAAAAAAUUCCCGGGCCUUGCACUCACCGCCCGUCA
rnacentral:rRNA from 1 species